AUACGGAGGGUACGAGCGUUGUUCGGAAUCACUGGGCGUAAAGCGCGGGUAGGCGGUCGUGCAAGUCGGUUGUGAAAUCCCGAGGCUCAACCUCGGAACUGCAAUCGAAACUGCUCGACUAGAGUCGCGGAGAGGGUGGCGGAAUUCCCGGUGUAGGGGUGAAAUCCGUAGAUAUCGGGAGGAACACCAGUGGCGAAGGCGGCCACCUGGACGCUGACUGACGCUGAGACGCGAAAGCGUGGGGAGCAAACAGGAUUAGAAACCCCUGUAGUCC
rnacentral:rRNA from 1 species